GGAAUUAUACUUUAAAGUAUAGAAGAGUUGGUUUGCAGCUAACAUGUGAAAUUAUUUCUAUUUCCA
rnacentral:tRNA from 1 species